rnacentral:rRNA from 1 species
AUUGAACGCUGGCGGCAGGCCUAACACAUGCAAGUCGAACGAGUGGCGGACGGGUGAGUAAUGUCUGUGAAACUGCCUGAUGUAGGGGGAUAACUACUGGAAACGGUAGCUAAUACCGCAUACCAUCGGAUGUGCCCAGAUGGGAUGCGCUAGUAGGUGGGGUAACGGCUCACUUAGGCGACGAUCCCUCGCUGGUCUGCGAGGAUGACCAUGCACACUGGAACUGAGACACUGUACAUACUCCGACGGGAGGCAGCAUUUGGGAAUAUUGCCCAAUGGGCGCAAUCCUGAUGCAGCAAUGCCGCGUGUGUGAAGAGGGCCUUCGGGUUGUAAAGCACUUUCAGCGGGGAGGCGUUACCCGCAGAAGAAGCACCGGCUAACUCCGUGCCAGCAGCCGCGGUAAUUC